rnacentral:rRNA from 1 species
CUGACUGCUAUCGGAUUGCUACUAAGCCAUGCGAGUCAUUGUACCACUACAAGGCGGACGGCUCANUAACACGUAGUCAACCUAACUCGAGGAUGUGGAUAACCUCGGGAAACUGACGAUAAACCACGAUAGAUCAUAGUGCCUGGAAUGGCUUAUGGCACAAACAGUUUACUGCCAUGGGAUGGGACUGCGGCCUAUCAGCUUGUUGGUGAGGUAAUGGCCCACCAAGGCGAUUACAGGUACGGGCUCUGACAGGAGUACCCCGGAUAUGGGUACUGACACACGGACCCACGCCCUAUGGGGCGCAUCAAGCGAGAAACCUUAUCAAUGUGCGAAAGCACGACUGGGUCAGUCCGAGUGAUUCCUGAUAAAGGAGUCUUUUGCCUGUCCUAAAAGCACAGGUGAAUAAGGGGUGGGCAAGUCUGGUGUCAGCCGCCGCGAUAAUACCAGCACCUCUAGUGGUCAGGACGUUUAUUGGGCCUAAAGCAUCCUUAGCCGGCUCUGCAAGUCUUCGGUUAAAUCCACCUGCUCAACAGAUGGGCCGCUGGAGAUACUACAGAGCUAGGGAGUGGGAGAGGCAGACGGUAUUCAGUGGGUAGGGGUAAAAUCCUCUGAUCCAUUGAGGACCACCAGUGGCGAAGGCGGUCUGCCAGAACACGUUCGACGGUGAGGGAUGAAAGCUGGGGGAGCAAACCGGAUUAGAUACCCGGGUUAGUCCCAUCUGAAAACGAUGCAAACUCCGUGAUGCAUUGGCUUAUGGCCAAUGCAGUGCCCACGGGAACCUGUUAAGUUUGCCGCCUGGGAAGUACGGACGCAAGUCUGACACUUAAAGGAAUUGGCGGCGGAGCAC